UUGGAGGGCAAGUCUGGUGCCAGCAGCCGCGGUAAUUCCAGCUCCAAUAGCGUAUAUUAAAGUUGUUGCAGUUAAAAAGCUCGUAGUUGAAUUUCGGGGUUAGCAGGUUGGUCGUGCCACUGGUAUGAACUGGCCUUGCUGAUUCCUCCCUCUUGAUGAGCCGUAAUGCCAUUAAUUUGGUGUUGCGAGGAAUCAGGACUGUUACUUUGAAAAAAUUAGAGUGUUUAAAGCAGGCAAGCGCUUGAAUACAUUAGCAUGGAAUAAUGAAAUAGGACGUUUGAUCUUAUUUUGUUGGUUUCUAAGAUUGACGUAAUGAUUAAUAGGGAUAGUUGGGGGCAUUAGUAUUCAAUUGUCAGAGGUGAAAUUCUUGGAUUUAUUGAAGACUAACUACUGCGAAAGCAUUUGCCAAGGAUGUUUUCAUUAAUCAAGAACGAAAGUUAGGGGAUCGAAGACGAUCAGAUACCGUCGUAGUCUUAACCAUAAACUAUGCCGACUAGGGAUCGGACNANNUUAAUUUUGAUGUGUUGUUCGGCACCUUACGGGAAAC
rnacentral:rRNA from 1 species